rnacentral:rRNA from 1 species
UACAGAGGGGGCAAGCGUUGUUCGGAAUUACUGGGCGUAAAGGGCGCGUAGGCGGCCUUCUAAGUCGAACGUGAAAUCCCCGGGCUCAACCCGGGAACUGCGUCCGAUACUGGAAGGCUUGAAUCCGGGAGAGGGAUGCGGAAUUCCAGGUGUAGCGGUGAAAUGCGUAGAGAUCAGCAGGAACACCCGUGGCGAAGGCGGUUCUCUGGGACGGUACUGACGCUGAGACGCGAAAGCGUGGGGAGCGAACAGG